rnacentral:rRNA from 1 species
GGUGACUGCGUACCUUUUGUAUAAUGGGUCAGCGACUUAUAUUCUGUAGCAAGGUUAACCGAAUAGGGGAGCCGAAGGGAAACCGAGUCUUAACUGGGCGUUAAGUUGCAGGGUAUAGACCCGAAACCCGGUGAUCUAGCCAUGGGCAGGUUGAAGGUUGGGUAACACUAACUGGAGGACCGAACCGACUAAUGUUGAAAAAUUAGCGGAUGACUUGUGGCUGGGGGUGAAAGGCCAAUCAAACCGGGAGAUAGCUGGUUCUCCCCGAAAGCUAUUUAGGUAGCGCCUCGUGAACUCAUCUUCGGGGGUAGAGCACUGUUUCGGCUAGGGGGUCAUCCCGACUUACCAACCCGAUGCAAACUGCGAAUACCGAAGAAUGUUAUCACGGGAGACACACGGCGGGUGCUAACGUCCGUCGUGAAGAGGGAAACAACCCAGACCGCCAGCUAAGGUCCCAAAGUCAUGGUUAAGUGGGAAACGAUGUGGGAAGGCACAGACAGCCAGGAUGUUGGCUUAGAAGCAGCCAUCAUUUAAAGAAAGCGUAAUAGCUCACUGGUCGAGUCGGCCUGCGCGGAAGAUGUAACGGGGCUAAACCAUGCACCGAAGCUGCGGCAGCGACACUAUGUGUUGUUGGGUAGGGGAGCGUUCUGUAAGCCGUUGAAGGUGGCCUGUGAGGGUUGCUGGAGGUAUCAGAAGUGCGAAUGCUGACAUAAGUAACGAUAAUGCGGGUGAAAAACCCGCACGCCGGAAGACCAAGGGUUCCUGUCCAACGUUAAUCGGGGCAGGGUGAGUCGGCCCCUAAGGCGAGGCCGAAAGGCGUAGUCGAUGGGAAACAGGUUAAUAUUCCUGUACUUGGUGUUACUGCGAAGGGGGGACGGAGAAGGCUAUGUUAGCCGGGCGACGGUUGUCCCGGUUUAAGCAUGUAGGCGGAGAUUCCAGGUAAAUCCGGAGUCUUGUUAACGCUGAGGUGUGAUGACGAGGCACUACGGUGCUGAAGUAACAAAUGCCCUGCUUCCAGGAAAAGCCUCUAAGCAUCAGGUAACACAAAAUCGUACCCCAAACCGACACAGGUGGUCAGGUAGAGAAUACCAAGGCGCUUGAGAGAACUCGGGUGAAGGAACUAGGCAAAAUGGUGCCGUAACUUCGGGAGAAGGCACGCUGAUAUGUAGGUGAAGUGAUUUACUCAUGGAGCUGAAAUCAGUCGAAGAUACCAGCUGGCUGCAACUGUUUAUUAAAAACACAGCACUGUGCAAACACGAAAGUGGACGUAUACGGUGUGACGCCUGCCCGGUGCCGGAAGGUUAAUUGAUGGGGUUAUCCGUAAGGAGAAGCUCUUGAUCGAAGCCCCGGUAAACGGCGGCCGUAACUAUAACGGUCCUAAGGUAGCGAAAUUCCUUGUCGGGUAAGUUCCGACCUGCACGAAUGGCGUAAUGAUGGCCAGGCUGUCUCCACCCGAGACUCAGUGAAAUUGAACUCGCUGUGAAGAUGCAGUGUACCCGCGGCAAGACGGAAAGACCCCGUGAACCUUUACUAUAGCUUGACACUGAACACUGGUCCUUGAUGUGUAGGAUAGGUGGGAGGCUUUGAAGUGUGGACGCCAGUCUGCAUGGAGCCAACCUUGAAAUACCACCCUUUAAUGGCUGGUGUUCUAACGUAGACCCGUGAUCCGGGUUGCGGACAGUGUCUGGUGGGUAGUUUGACUGGGGCGGUCUCCUCCUAAAGAGUAACGGAGGAGCACGAAGGUUAGCUAAUCCUGGUCGGACAUCAGGAGGUUAGUGCAAUGGCAUAAGCUAGCUUGACUGCGAGCGUGACGGCGCGAGCAGGUGCGAAAGCAGGUCAUAGUGAUCCGGUGGUUCUGAAUGGAAGGGCCAUCGCUCAACGGAUAAAAGGUACUCCGGGGAUAACAGGCUGAUACCGCCCAAGAGUUCAUAUCGACGGCGGUGUUUGGCACCUCGAUGUCGGCUCAUCACAUCCUGGGGCUGAAGUAGGUCCCAAGGGUAUGGCUGUUCGCCAUUUAAAGUGGUACGCGAGCUGGGUUUAGAACGUCGUGAGACAGUUCGGUCCCUAUCUGCCGUGGGCGCUGGAGAAUUGAGGGGGGCUGCUCCUAGUACGAGAGGACCGGAGUGGACGCAUCACUGGUGUUCGGGUUGUCAUGCCAAUGGCAUUGCCCGGUAGCUAAAUGCGGAAGAGAUAAGUGCUGAAAGCAUCUAAGCACGAAACUUGCCCCGAGAUGAGUUCU